rnacentral:rRNA from 1 species
GUCUUUUUGAUUAUAAUUUAAAGUCUGACCUGCCCAAUGAGUAUUUGAAUGGCCGCGGUAAUUUGACCGUGCAAAGGUAGCAUAAUCAUUAGUUUUUUAAUUGAAAGCUGGAAUGAAUGGUUGGACGAGAAAAUAACUGUCUCAAUUUAAUUGUAUAUAGAAUUUUAUUUAUAAGUAAAAAAGCUUAUAUGAUUUUAAAAGACGAGAAGACCCUAUAGAGUUUUACAUUUUACUAUAUUAAUUAAUUUUAGAAUGUUUAUGUUUUUAAUAUAAUAAAAUGUUUUGCUGGGGCAGCAGAAAAAUUAAAUAAACUUUUUUUAUUAUUAUUACAUUGAUUUAUGAUUUAAUGAUCCAUUUUUUAUGAUUAUAAGAUUAAAUUACCUUAGGGAUAACAGCGUAAUUUUUUUUUAGAGUUCUUAUCGAAAAAAGAGUUUGCGACCUCGAUGUUGGAUUAAAAUUAACUUUUGGUGUAGGGGCUAAAAGGUUAGGUCUGUUCGACCUUUAAAAUUUUACAUGAUCUGAGU